AGAUAAGCGCCAGAGCUUGGUUUCGCGCGGGAAGAGAUUUGGAGCGGUUAUCCGGAUGACGCUGCUAAGAAUCCUGUACCGGCAAAUACAAGCUGACGAGGUGGGGGUGUUCGAAAUGUUCGGCGGGGACCUCCCGGUGUGGCAUCACACCGUAACCGUGAAGGCAAAACGAACAGGCGACUGUUCCGACAAACC
rnacentral:ncRNA from 1 species